rnacentral:lncRNA from 1 species
UACAUAGAUAAAUUCAGCCGUAUAAGAAAAGCAAAAUGAGAAUGUUAAAUUUGAUGUAUGCCUUUUUGUGCUACUUUGUUACAUUUGUUGUUUAUGUAGUGAUAUUAAAAUGAUAACACAAUAUUGACUGUUGUACCCCUAUUUUUGACAUUUUUACUCUUUGAGUAUGUUUGUUUUGUUCAUGCAUCGUUGACAAUGUAAUGGAAUUUGAUGCGACUGUCAUACAAGUGAGAGGUUUAGCUAGCUAUAAAACCAGGUUCAAUCCACCAUUUUCUACAUUAGAAAAUGCCUGUACCAAGUCAGGAAUAUGACAGUUGUUAUCCAUUCGUUUGAUGUGUUUGGACUU